rnacentral:misc_RNA from 1 species
GAAAUGCGAUAUGUAAUGCGAAUUGCAGAAUUCAGUGAAUCAUCAAAUCUUUGAACGCAAAUGGCGGUCUCGGGAUAGUCCUGGGACCACACCUCUCUGAGUAUCGGUUCAAACUCAACUCUUCAGCGUGCUUGCAUGCAGAAGGAAAAUGAGAGUCUUAGCUGAUCUAGCUAAGUCUCUUUAAAUAUGUUGAGCUUUAGAUCUCCUAGUAAUUCAAUCAUUCGUGAUUGAUAGCCUCAUAGGCUCUUUUCUACUAGUGACGUGGAUAAUAUCACCUUCGCGGUGUCUUGAAACGUCUUAUCUAGUAUUGAAGAAUUGUCUAUGUGUGUGAACGAUUAGGUAGGUCUCUAGCGUUAGAAUUGAACGAUCUCUUUUCGAGAUUCCUCGAAUUAGAUCUCAG